GGUGGCUCAGUAGUAGAGUGCUUGCUUUGCAUGCAUGAGGCCGUGGGUUCAAUUCCUCAGCACCA
rnacentral:tRNA from 1 species